UACGUAGGUGGCAAGCGUUGUCCGGAUUUACUGGGCGUAAAGAGCGCGCAGGCGGUCGUUCAAGUCGAGUGUGAAAGCCCCCGGCUCAACUGGGGAGGGUCACUCGAUACUGAUCGACUUGAAGGCAGGAGAGGGAAGCGGAAUUCCCGGUGUAGUGGUGAAAUGCGUAGAUAUCGGGAGGAACACCAGUGGCGAAGGCGGCUUCCUGGCCUGUUCUUGACGCUGAGGCGCGAAAGCGUGGGGAGCGAACCGG
rnacentral:rRNA from 1 species